UGGGGAAUAUUGCACAAUGGGCGCAAGCCUGAUGCAGCCAUGCCGCGUGUGUGAAGAAGGCCUUCGGGUUGUAAAGCACUUUCAGCGGGGAGGAAGGCGUUAAGGUUAAUAACCUUGGCGAUUGACGUUACCCGCAGAAGAAGCACCGGCUAACUCCGUGCCAGCAGCCGCGGUAAUACGGAGGGUGCAAGCGUUAAUCGGAAUUACUGGGCGUAAAGCGCACGCAGGCGGUCUGUCAAGUCGGAUGUGAAAUCCCCGGGCUCAACCUGGGAACUGCAUUCGAAACUGGCAGGCUAGAGUCUUGUAGAGGGGGGUAGAAUUCCAGGUGUAGCGGUGAAAUGCGUAGAGAUGUGGAGGAAUACCGGUGGCGAAGGCGGCCCCCUGGGCAAAGACUGACGCUCAGGUGCGAAAGCGUGGGGAGCAAACAGG
rnacentral:rRNA from 1 species